ACUGACAGAGCCAGCAAGUUGUUUUCCUUGACUGGAAGGUUCUGGGUAAUCUUGUGAAACUCUGUCGUGCUGGGGAUAGAGUAUUGCAAUUAUUGCUCUUCAAC
rnacentral:ncRNA from 1 species